GACGAACGCUGGCGGCGUGCCUAACACAUGCAAGUCGAACGCAGUGGGGACGGGUGAGUAACACGUGGGUAACCUCCCAUCAGACGGGAUAACACUUGGAAACAGGUGCUAAACCGAUAUUGGUGGAUGGACCCGCGGUGCAUUAGCUCGGUGGUGAGGUAACGGCACACCCAGGCCACGAUGCAUAGCCGACCUGAGAGGGUGAGAGGCCACACGGGAACUGAGAAACGGCCCAGACUCCGACGGGCGGCAGCAGUAGGAAAUAGUCGGCAAUGGACGGAAGUCUGACCGAGCAACGCCGCGUGAGUGAAGAAGGCUUUCGGAUCGUAAAACUCUGUUGUUAGAGAAGCGGUAUCUAACCAGAAAGCCACGGCUAACUACGUGCCAGCAGCCGCGGUAAUAC
rnacentral:rRNA from 1 species